rnacentral:rRNA from 1 species
AGUGAACGCUGGCGGUAGGCCUAACACAUGCAAGUCGAACGGCAGCACAGUAAGAGCUUGCUCUUACGGGUGGCGAGUGGCGGACGGGUGAGGAAUACAUCGGAAUCUACUUUUUCGCGGGGGAUAACGUAGGGAAACUUACGCUAAUACCGCAUACGACCUACGGGUGAAAGCAGGGGAUCUUCGGACCUUGCGCGAUUGAAUGAGCCGAUGUCGGAUUAGCUAGUUGACGGGGUAAGGGCCCACCAAGGCGACGAUCCGUAGCUGGUCUGAGAGGAUGAUCAGCCACACUGGAACUGAGACACGGUCCGGACUCCUACGGGAGGCAGCAGUGGGGAAUAUUGGACAAUGGGCGCAAGCCUGAUCCAGCCAUACCGCGUGGGUGAAGAAGGCCUUCGGGUUGUAAAGCCCUUUUGUUGGGAAAGAAGAGCAGCAGGUUAAUACCCCGCUGUUCUGACGGUACCCAAAGAAUAAGCACCGGCUAACUUCGUG